GAUGAACGCUGGCGGCGUGCUUAACACAUGCAAGUCGAACGAAGCACCUUGAUUUGAUUCUUCGGAUGAAGAUCUUGGUGACUGAGUGGCGGACGGGUGAGUAACGCGUGGGUAACCUGCCUCAUACAGGGGGAUAACAGUUAGAAAUGACUGCUAAUACCGCAUAAGACCACAGUACCGCAUGGUACAGGGGUAAAAACUCCGGUGGUAUGAGAUGGACCCGCGUCUGAUCAGGUAGUUGGUGGGGUAACGGCCUACCAAGCCGACGAUCAGUAGCCGACCUGAGAGGGUGACCGGCCACAUUGGGACUGAGACACGGCCCAAACUCCUACGGGAGGCAGCAGUGGGGAAUAUUGCACAAUGGGGGAAACCCUGAUGCAGCGACGCCGCGUGAGCGAUGAAGUAUUUCGGUAUGUAAAGCUCUAUCAGCAGGGAAGAAAAUGACGGUACCUGACUAAGAAGCACCGGCUAAAUACGUGCCAGCAGCCGCCGUAAAAC
rnacentral:rRNA from 1 species